rnacentral:rRNA from 1 species
UACGUAGGGGGCAAGCGUUGUCCGGAGUUACUGGGCGUAAAGCGCACGCAGGCGGUCUCUUAAGUUUGGGGUGACAGUUGGUGGCUUAACUGCCAAAGUGCUUCGAAAACUGAGAGACUUGAGGGCUUCAGAGGGACACGGAAUUCCGGGUGGAGUGGUGAAAUGCGGUAGAGAUCGGAAAGAACACCAACGGCGAAAGCACAUCUGCUGGGCCGACACUG